rnacentral:lncRNA from 1 species
GUCCGCGGCCGGCGCGCUCCCCGGUCCUCCCUCGCUCAUCUCCUAUGCUCAUAUUUGGACUCGGCUGCCCGUGCCCAGGAAUUUCCCGUCAUGCCUCCCGCCGCCCCGUCCGUCGCCCGGAGCCGGGGAGGGAGGAGGAGGCUCGGACAGCGGCGGCGGCUCCCUGGCCUUUCGAUGAGCGCGCGGUGGACCCUCCCGCGCCCCCUCUCGCUCUGCCUCUGCCUUUGCCUGGCCGCGGUCGCGGCGCGGGCAACCGCGCAGUCUG